rnacentral:rRNA from 2 species
UACGGAGGGUGCAAGCGUUAUCCGGAUUUACUGGGUUUAAAGGGUGUGUAGGCGGACUUUUAAGUCAGCGGUGAAAUCUCCGGGCUCAACCCGGAAACUGCCAUUGAUACUAUUGGUCUUGAAUGUUGUUGAGGUGGGCGGAACGGGUCAUGUAGCGGUGAAAUGCAUAGAUAUGACCCGGAACACCGAUUGCGUAGGCAGCCCACUAAGCAACGAUUGACGCUGAGGCACGAAAGCGUGGGGAUCAAACAGG